CGGCACAGCCCUACUCUAAAUUUAACCAGCAGUCAUCACCAACCCUCCCCCAAGCCCUUCCAAGGACACUAACCCUCCAACCACAGGUGCUAGAGGAAGGACAGGCCCUGAGGAUGGACACCAGGCUGACCAGGUCAGUGCCCAUGUGACCUCGUAGAGAUGGCCAUGCAAAUACAAAUGCAACGGUCAUGAUCUAGAAUUGCCUUCUUCCCUCUAGCUUGAGGCCCCUAAAGGGCCCCUCUCAUUCUGAUACACUGUCCCUAGCCAGCACAGCCCAAGUGGCCAACUGCUUGUCACCUAUACCAGCACAGGCGGAAGCUGGCAGACAUGCCCCAGGAUCAGGGCUUCAUGCCAGAAACUGAGACCAUGACCCUGGGAAGCACC
rnacentral:lncRNA from 1 species